GCAGCAGUGCUUGAGCUGUAGUUAUUGGGUUUUCCUGGCUCUUGCUCAGAAGACUGGAACAAGGACUUCAUUCCCUGUUCCUGAAAUGGGCCUUUCCUGUGCCGAUCCUCUCCUGGUUCAUACAGCCCAUGUACAAACAGUCUGCUUCUCAGGAUGAAAACAACUCAGUCAACCAGGUCUAUACGGACAUCGGAAGGGCAUCGGAAGGGCAUCGGAAGGUGUCCAGCCGAGAGGAGUCUCAGAGCUGGUACUCCCUCAGCAGGCACCGUUGGAUGGGCAUCGGCUUCCCACUCGGUUCCAGGCUCACUUCUAGCCAUCAGCACCUGAUAGAUAUCCUAAAGUAGAAUGUGCCUCCAUACCCUGACCUUGGUGC